AAGGCAGGAAGGAAGGAAGGAAGAAGAAAGUCCAAAUCCCAAGAAACACCUGAUGUAUCUGCUACCUACACCCUGUCUCCCUUCAUCCCCCACACUCACAGCUGUUUAGCAGAGGAAUCCCAGUGACACCCCGGGUCCCAGAGAAAAGCCUGCCCUGCCUUCCAGUUCCAGUGCAUGAGGCAUGAAGCCGACUGUUCAGGAAGUCAAGACUUAUUUGUGAAACGAAAGGCAGUGGACCCCUGUGUUGCUGCUGGUGGGGAGCCCAGUAGGUGGGAUGCUAGUCCAGCCCCUUUGGCAGUGGCGGAUUCUCCAGAUGGACUUAGUCACCUGAUGCUUGGCAAGACUCGGCCCCAGCUACCCCAGUGGGAGGGGGUUGUGGACAAUGGAGACACUCAGAAUGAUUGACCAAAAUGGUUUUGAAACCUCUAGACCAAGGACCAUUAAUCUGAAAAUGGCUCUGACUCUAUUUGAUUUCAAUAGAAAGAAACGGCUCCUUUUGAAAUGGAUAGUGACAGCCAAGCUCAGAGAUAACAGACUGGCAAUGACAAGACUCUACUUUUUAAAACAAACAACAGAAAACCUUCCCUAGCUGUGUUUGGACAGUUUCACUCUGUUGAUUUUUAAACCAUCAUGAGAGUUGAUCACAUUCACUUCCCCACCUGCCCUCCCUCCAUUGGCGCCCAGACCUGCCACCCAACUUCCUGGAAGGUCAGAGGGAUCCCGACCAGGAGAGAGGAUACUGGAGCAUGGGGGAAAGCAGGGAGAGGGUGCACUGGGUGCAGAGAAACCAGGGGGACCCGAAGGGGACACAAGCUAGGCAGUCCCCACAGGCCCUGCGCCCUUCACCCCUUCCACAUGCUAGGGAAAGAAACCAUUGUGUGAACAGAGGCAAUACUGUAUGAAGGGAGGAAAGGCGACGAAAAAGAAUUUUACAUGGACCUUAGAGAGGAAAGGAGGAAAGGAAUCUGGUGUGUGUAUGUGUAUGUGUGUGUGUGUGUGUGUUCGUGUACAUGCACAGGUACACGUGUUUUAGCCCUAGACACGUGGCCUAUCAGAAGGACAUGAGACAAGGUCAGGAAUGAACUCCCCUUUGAAUCACCCUUAAGCAGGCAGACGAAUUAGGACUGAUUUAUGAAUGUAUUUCCACAAUUUACUUGAAAAUUUGUAAUGUCUGUGCAGCCUGGCAAGAAAAAAAAAAGGCGAGGCACUGUGAAGGAAUGCUUCUGCUCCACUUCAUUGUAAAAUUAUCCCAUGCUACCUGCUCUAAUCCCCUGAAAACAAAUUAAAUCCUCACUAAGCUGACUUUAAAUCAAUAGUUUCAUUUAAGAAUAGUGUGACUUAAUAAAAAUAAAAAACUAACUGGUCCAGCCAAUUUAAGAGGGAAAUAAAUCAUUGCCCAAAGAAAAAUAGCAGAUUUGACUUGUAUAUGGGCCCUGGCUCUGUUUAGAAGGGAGAGGUGGUGUCUAAAUUAACUCUGGCUGGGGAAGAAGCUCAUAGACCCAUUCAGAAACUCACUUUACCAUGCACAUCCCAGGAAUAAGGAGGCCAGCCACCCCCAAAAUGGGAAACAGCAUCUCAGUCUAUAUUUUGAAAAAUGUAACCACUAAAAAAUAGAAGAUGGCAUCCUCGGAAGCAUCCUGGCAACCCUGAGACUGCAGCGCUCACAUGUGAAGACCAAGAAACCCAUGUCUGGUCAUGGCAGAAGCCACAAGGUUCCUCUUGAAGAUGCACUGGUUAAGGCAACAGUGUCCUCAACAAGCCGGGACAAAGGCAAAAUUAGGUGUGCUGGAUAAACAUCAGUAAUUAUAAUAGGUGCACAAUCUAUGUGCAAUUAUUCUUUGGAAUAAAUCUAAGUGUGGGGUAGACAUAUUUUUGGCAGUAUACAAAGGCCUGACUACCAUUUUAUGAAUAAAGAAAGUCAUCUAGAACAAAAGAGUAAGACUCGACACAAUAGGGCAAGUAGUUACAGAGAAAAGUCUGAAAUCCCAUAAUUCUAAACUAGCACUUUAUCCCAUUUAGCAGAGUACUUCUUUACUAAUCAUAUAAAUUAGAAAAAUGCUUAGGACCCGACGCUUGCUUACUUAAUUCAUUAUGUAUUGGGGAUAUAUAAACAUUAAAGUGAGUGCCUUCAAAACACGACACAUCAAUAUUAUCAGUGUCACUAUUGCCACUAACAUAUUUUAAACAUUUAAUAAUUAUACAACGUCAAGUCAGUUACUUACUGACGUUCAUUGCAAUCGAGCACUUUUAUUUAUCAUUUUGACAAUAACAAAUAAUAAAACAUAUUCCUUCUAGUAAAAGAUUUAAGCCUAAAGAAGCCAGGCAAGACCAUUUAGUUCCUUACCAUAGUCCCUCUCUCAGAGACUACAUUAAUUUUCAUUUGUUGGCCAGAAAAAUACCUGGCCAAAUACCUAGAGAAAUCAGUGUAUGAAGAUGGCACAGUUUGGUGGAAACACUCUGGCUUAGACUCAGGCUCUGGAGGCUCAAGUCAUGCCCCCACAUUUAGAAUCCUGUAUUGUUUACCUAGUUAUUUGACAUUCUGGCCUUAGUUUUGUCAUCUGUAAGAUGGAGGCAAUAAUACCUGCACAGUUUAUGGAGUUAUUAGGUGGCCCCAAGCAGGCGAUGGAGGGUACUUUGCAAGGUGAUACACAAAAGUGAGAAAUGACCGGGCCUCCCGUCUGUCCAAGGACAAGCAUGGUAAUUAAUUCUAACUUAGAAAACACUGGCUUCCUAUACAUUCUCCCAAUGUAACCAUUCCAUGGAUGAUGGCUCCAGCUUCCGGCAGGGUCUGCUGUGUGCACGGAGCACCCGUCAGCCUGGAGCAGACCUGAGACGCUGGCACAAGAACUGUCAUCUGGAGAAGCGUCACCUCCUGUCCGGCUGAGGUUCCACGGGGCUUCUGCCAGAGACCUGAAUAAAUGUUAUAGAACA
rnacentral:lncRNA from 1 species